ACUUAUAAGUUGUUUUUAAUGAUGGGACAUCCGAUUCAUCGAUCGGUUCCGUUAGACAUGAUCUAUGCUAUUGAAACUAUCUAGAGUCUAAAAUUUUCUAAUUUUUUUUACUUCAUUUGCCUAGUGAACGAGUAGCCUCAAAAUGAACGGCUGAAAAUAAAAAUUUCAUAAAAAAUAGUGAUAAAAGACUCAAAUUUUAAAUCACAAGUAUUGAUCUUGCUAUUGACGUUAAGUAGAAUUUUCUAUUAAAGUCUUAUGUAAUUUAGAUUGUUCUACACCGUUGACUUAAAAACGUGCCACAUUGACCGUUAAAAUAGUCACUUUCAGGCCUUUUGAUCACUUAGUAAAUAAAGUCAAAAAAUUAUAAAAUUUGAUUUUUAGAUAGUUCCAAUAGGGUAGAUUUUGCCUAACGGAGCUGGAGCUAGUCGUCGAAUUGGAUGUCCUAACAUCAAAAAUAAUUUACAAGCA
rnacentral:lncRNA from 1 species